GGCGCGACGCGGCGGUAGAGCACACGGCUGAAAACCGUGGUGUCGCCGGUUCGAUUCCGGCCCU
rnacentral:tRNA from 1 species